CAGUCGCCACGGGAACACGGAGGGUGCAAGCGUUAAUCGGAAUUACUGGGCGUAAAGCGUGCGUAGGCGGUUCGUUAAGUCUGUUGUGAAAGCCCCGGGCUCAACCUGGGAAUGGCAAUGGAUACUGGCGAGCUAGAGUGUGUCAGAGGAUGGUGGAAUUCCCGGUGUAGCGGUGAAAUGCGUAGAGAUCGGGAGGAACAUCAGUGGCGAAGGCGGCCAUCUGGGACAACACUGACGCUGAGGCACGAAAGCGUGGGGAGCAAACAGGAUUAGAGACCCGAGUAGUCCCUGUCUCUUAUAC
rnacentral:rRNA from 1 species